GUGGGGAAUAUUGGACAAUGGGGGGAACCCUGAUCCAGCCAUGCCGCGUGUGUGAAGAAGGCCUUUUGGUUGUAAAGCACUUUAAGCGAGGAGGAGGCUACCGAGAUUAAUACUCUUGGAUAGUGGACGUUACUCACAGAAUAAGCACCGGCUAACUCUGUGCCAGCAGCCGCGGUAAUACAGAGGGUGCAAGCGCUAAUCGGAUUUACUGGGCGUAAAGCGCGCGUAGGUGGCCAAUUAAGUCAAAUGUGAAAUCCCCGAGCUUAACUUGGGAAUUGCAUUCGAUACUGGUUGGCUAGAGUAUGGGAGAGGAUAGUAGAAUUCCAGGUGUAGCGGUGAAAUGCGUAGAGAUCUGGAGGAAUACCGAUGGCGAAGGCAGCCAUCUGGCCUAAUACUGACACUGAGGUGCGAAAGCAUGGGGAGCAAACAGGAUUAGAUACCCGAGUAGUCC
rnacentral:rRNA from 1 species